AUUUCAGAUACUUACAUUACAGACCAUGAACCUGGCAAAAGUAGUCCUGUCACAAAUGCAGAAGGACAGACCACAUGUGAUGAUACUCCUGAAUCUGUGCAGCAGACUGUGGUUCAGGACACCUCUGAGAAAGGAAGCCUUGAGGAAUCAGAACGAGAAUUCCAAGUAAAUGGUGAAGAAGCAAAAACCUUCCAGCCUACUUGUUUGGGUGACCCUGGUAAAGUCCAAUUAGUAGAUUUUGCUCUUGGUCAUGAAGAAAGUGAUGACUCUGAAAAAGCCCACUCAGGAAGUUCUGGCAUCAGUCAUGAAGAAACAACAGAAGAAUUUGAAGACCACCAAGAACAGGCUUUAUGGGGAGGAUCACAACAGGAGAAUGGUUCACAGGACUCUCAAUCAACGAGCCCUAUCCCUGAUUCUCUGUCUGCAGGAGUAAAGAAACCUGACAUUAACAAGAAUACUCAUUCUAAAUAUAACACAGUGUCAUACCGUAAAAUCAGAAAAGGAAACACCAAGCAGAGAAUUGAUGAGUUUGAAUCAAUGAUGCAUGCAUGAUCUUAUGACAAAAGACUGUUGGGUAUAUAUCAAUAUUUCUAACAGCUGGGAACAAAGCAAGUGUUGCAUUGAAUUAGUGCUCAUUUACAGUAGUUAUUCCCUCUCCUUAAAUAUUUCUCUAGCACACUUGUUAGAAAAAUUGUGAUUGCAGUAUAAAUGAUUUUUAAGUUAAUUAACAGUAAUGAAGCUUUACAAUCUUUGUAAGAUCUGUGAACAUAUUAACAUUUUUAAAUCAGAUCUCUACAUUUUACUUCUACUCUAUUUCAUUGGCAACUAACAGACAUACAUUAUAAAAAGUGUCAUAAAAAUCUAAUCUAAAUCGUUUUAAUCUGAGAAUGUGUCUACUGAUAUAUGUUUAACAGACCCAGGCAAAUGUCAUAACACUGCAAAAUAUUUAAUACAAAUAAUAUUGUAUUAAAUAUUGCAAUAUUGUAUUUUGAAAGGAAAGAGACCUGUUAAUUCAUCAAAUCAUUUUUUUUCUCAUGGAGCUCUCAGAAUUUGUUUUUUUCCUGUUAAAGAGGGCCUAUUGCAUCUUCUUGUGAAGAAAAGUAUUCUCUUGAAUUUAGAAAUUAAGAACAUGCACUUUAGGAAUCUAUUAUGUGGCAACUUAAAACAGGAGCAUUUGCUAUAUUUACAAGAUCUAUUUACUACAAUUUUCCAUGCAGCAAGACUUAAGCAUUGAAAAUAAAAACUGAAACAGUAAUAAA